rnacentral:rRNA from 1 species
UAGGGAAUCUUCGGCAAUGGGGGGAACCCUGACCGAGCAACGCCGCGUGAGUGAAGAAGGUUUUCGGAUCGUAAAGCUCUGUUGUCAGAGAAGAACGGGUGUGAGAGUGGAAAGUUCACACAGUGACGGUACCUGACGAGAAAGGGACGGCUAACUACGUGCCAGCAGCCGCGGUAAUACGUAGGUCCCGAGCGUUGUCCGGAUUUAUUGGGCGUAAAGCGAGCGCAGGCGGCUCUGUAAGUCUGAAGUAAAAGGCAGUGGCUUAACCAUUGUGUGCUUUGGAAACUGCGGGGCUUGAGUGCAGAAGGGGAGAGUGGAAUUCCAUGUGUAGCGGUGAAAUGCGUAGAUAUAUGGAGGAACACCGGUUGCGAAAGCGGCUCUCUGGUCUGAAACUGACGCUGAGGCUCGAAAGCGUGGGUAGCGAACAGGAUUAGAUACCCUGGUA